GAUUUGGCGUCAUUCACGAAGUCCAUUGAAGACCUCGAAAAUGGCCGUCAAAGCAAAGAGAUUUUAAUCUGCUGUCGAAUUAAGGUUGCUUCUUUGACGCGUCAUGCAACAUAUCACACAUAGUGGGUUUCUUUUAGAACAGCUGAAGAGGCAGAAAGAGAGAAGCUUUCUGUGUGACUGCACAGUGGUAAUAGGACAGGAUCGGUUCCAGGCCCACCACAAUGUUCUGGCCGCUUUUAGCGAAUAUUUCUCCAAUCAGUGUAUUGACGCCGGAAGAGAGGAUACCACUAUAACUUUAGACCCAGAGUUGGUAAAUGGUGCUGUGUUUGAAAAACUAUUGACAUAUAUAUACACAGGGGACUUAAAUAUGGACAGGGAAGAAAUGGAAAAUUUUCAGAAAGCUGCAUCUUACCUUGGAAUGCCUAAGAUUGUUGCCUACUGUUCCUUAAGCCAAGGUGAUAACAAAAGUGAUGCUUCACCUGUAAGAAAAACAGAGUAUUUAGAUCCACGAUCCCCCCUGAGUCCAGAUGACUAUGAACCUCUAGAGCCGAUCUCGGAGGUGGAGGAAUGUGAGCGGAUAAGGGAAGAAAUGUCUAAAGAAGAUGGGUCUCAGAAUGAUCUUGCUUCAAUGGAUGAAGCCCAGUCAUCUGGCGAACAGAAGCCCCUCGGCAAGAGAGGGAGAAAACCCAAAGCCAGGCUCUACGAGGAUGGCCUUGAAAGGGAGCAUAUUAGUGCUCGGGGAGGUAGAGGAAGAGGUACUGGUAGACCAAGAGGUCGCCCGAGGUUGAGGCCAUUGACUUCUGAUUCAGCUGGCCAAUCGCCAGCUCCACAAACCACAAGUCCAAGCAGCGUAGUAGGAAGAGGAACUGGAAGACCAAGAGGUCGCCCACGGAUUAGGCCAUUGUCCACUGACAGAUCUGAUUCUGCCAACACUGAAUAUAGUUCGGCAGCAACAACAAACAAUCAAGAAGGGGUGACAUCCAUCCACAAAAGAGAGUGCCCCCAAAUCAGACCCCUGUCAUCUGAAACACCUGAGACCACUGGAGCAGAAGGAGACAAAGCAGAUGAAGACCAAGGAGACAACCAAGAAACUCUCGAAGACACUCUUGAGGAAGAUGACGAUAAAACAAAUGGUGGUAAAACCAAGACUGAUACAAAAAAUCUAAAAGAAUUAGCAGUUGUCAAACGAGGGAGAGGUAGACCACAGAUUAAGGCGUUAUCCACAGAGAACCAAGCAACAAACCUUGAGGCUGGAGCUACAAACAUUGAAGAAGGCUUAGAACCUACUAAGACAAAAGAGAACCAAGGGACCCCACGUAAAAGAGGAAGACCUCGGUCCAAGCCACUUUCUUCUGAGACAGCUGAGUCUUCAAACCCAGGCGAUGGUGGAGAAGGAGUUGAUGACGGCAAAAGCCAAGGCUCUGAGAAACCUGCGGAUGAUUGUUCUGAGGAAGGUUCCUUUCAAGGUACAGAAGGCGCAGAUGAUUCAGAGUCAGGUCCUGGCAAAAAGAUCCGUACCAGCACCAGAAAGAGGAGCUUGAGCAGAAAGCUCAAAGAAAGUCAAGCUAGCAAUGAGGAAGAAGAUGAAGAUGAAGAUGACGAUGAGGACAUUGGCAAUGACAGUGUGGACUGGGCUGCUGAAGAAGAGGUAAAACCCUUGCAGGAUAAACUCAGGCCCAUUUGUAACGUAUGCGGGAACCUCUUCUCUGAGUUGAGCAGCCUGCGCAGACACAUGCGCAUACACAAGGGUAUCAAACCAUAUCAGUGCCAGCUCUGCACCCGCUCCUUCAGACAGGGCAACCAGUUAAAGACCCAUAUGCGCAUACACACUGGAGAGAAGCCCUUCGGCUGCACAUCUUGUGAGGCACGUUUUGUGCAGAAGUGUCAGCUGGUCUCUCAUUGCCGAAUGCAUCAUGGAGAAGAAAAGCCACACAAAUGUGAUUUCUGUGAAGCGGCUUUUGCUACAUCUAGCAAUCUUAAAAUUCACAUAAGGAAACACAGUGGUGAGAAGCCCUAUGAAUGUGGAGAGUGUGGGAAGCGCUUCACUCAGGCCAGCACUCUGAUGUACCAUAAGCGACGACACACAGGGGAGAAACCGUACAUCUGUGACACCUGUGGCAUGGCCUUCGCUGUGUCCAGCUCACUCAUCUCUCACAACAGAAAACACACAGGUGUGACUCCUUAUAUCUGCUUGGAUUGUGGUAAACCGUGCUUAAGUGCCAGUGAAUUAAGAAAACAUAUGGACAUCCACAAUGGUUCAAGAAAAGUAAAGUGCAACCUUUGUGGGAACACAUUUUCAGACAUUUAUUCCUUGAAGAAGCACAGUAUUUUCAAACAUAAUGUUCUUCCAGACCAAGAGCAGCAGACUCCUUCAAAAACUGACUCGGCAUCGUGUCCUCUCAAUAUCCCCAUUGACCACCAGGGCCUGAUUGCGCGUGUGCGUUCUGCCCUUGUCGAUUCCCCAGAGCACGAAAUUCAGAUGGAGUCACUUUUACCCCCAGAAGCCUCGCUCAUCAUCCAACAGUCUGCAGAGCCUCAAAUGAUCAUACAGCAUGCAGAUGGCUCAGAACCCUCCAUGAUUUUCCAGCACGCCGAUUCAUCAGAAGCACCGGUCAUCAUCCAGCAUGGAGAAUCCGGCGAGCAAGUCAGCUAUGUUGUGGAGCAGUAUGAAAUCCCAGCAACUGCUGAGAUGGAGCACACACAGAUAGUCAUUGUUCAGACCAUAGAUUAAAAUACCAGAUUUUACCUCUAUUUUAAAUGUAUUCUCUCCAGAUAAGAUUGUUAAAGGGAUAAAUCACCCAAAAAUGAAAAUUCUGUCAUUUACUCACCCUCAUGUUUUUCUAAACCUGUAUGAUGUUCUUUCAACUGUGGAACUCAAAGGUAAUUGGAAGAAUGUCUUUCAUUGUAUGGGGGAAAAGAGCAGCAUCAACAUUCAUCAUAUUUUCUCCUCUUGUGUUCCACAGAAGAAAAGAAAAUCUUACAGAUUUGGAACAAUAUGACGGGACAAUCCCCCUGGAGCAACCUGGAGUUAAGUGCCUUGUUCAAGGACACAAUGGUGGUGGUGGGGUUAGAACCUGUGACCUUCUGAUUAACAGCCCUGUUCUUUAGCCACCACCUCCGAAUAUUUCAGCUCUGUUGCUCCAUACAAUGCGAAUGAUGGGACAUUUGUAGCUCCAAAAAACACAUUAAGGACACUGAUGUAAUCCGUAAGACUCCAGUGGUUGAAUAAUGUAAGUCCUUUUUUACUCUAAAUCUCCAUUUUCACAUUGGAAUGUCACAUAUAGUGCCUGUUUAGUUUCAUUUUCACAUCUGGGGGCGUUUUACAGAAAGAUCCUAACUUUAAAAUCCUAUUUUUUUAAAAUCCUAUUUUCCUAAGUUAUUUAUCUUAUCCUAUUUAAAUGAUCUGCUUGGUAACCAUGGCAGUUUCAGUUAGGAUCUCAUUUAGGACAAAAGCCAUUGCAUAUUAACAUUUCCUAAAUGCAUUAUCCUAUCUUAACUACAGUUAGAAUUUGCUUCUGUAAUAUGAAUUUUUGGAAAAAAGUUAGUUUACCUUAACUGAUCAGAUCUUAACUUAAGGAAUAUUCUGUGUUCAAUACAAGUUAAGCUCAACCGACAGCAUUUGUGCAAUAUUGAUUACCACAAUUUUUUUUUUUAUAGAUUAAAAAAAAUAUAUUUUUUAUCCCCUUUUCUCCCCAGUUUGGAAUGCCCAAUUCCCACUAAUUAGUAGGUCCUUGUGGUGGUGCAGUUACUCGCCUCAAUCCGGGUGGUGGAGGACAAGUCACAGUUGCCUCCGCUUCUGAGACCUUCAAUCCCGCAUUUUAUCACGUGGCUCAUUGUGCAUGACACCGUGGAGACUCCCAGCAUGUGGAGGCUUGUGCUACUCUCCGUGAUCCAUGCACAACUCUCCAUGCACCCCACUGAGAGCGACAACCACAAAUCGUGACCACAAGGAGGUUACCCAAUGUGACUACCCUCCCUAGCAACCGGGACAAUUUGGUUGCUUAGGAGACCUGACUGGAGUCACUCAGCACACCCUGGAUUCGAACUCGCGACUCCAGGGGUGGUAGCCAGUGUCAAUACUCGCUGAGCUACCCAGGCCCCCUGACAAAAAAUAAUAUAUAAUAUAUAGUAUAUAAUAGUCUUGUUCCUCAUUUUUUUUUUUUUUUUUUAAAGUUACCUCCAGAAACUGGUUUCGGACAGCCUAUUGUUACUAGGAUACCAGUAACUGAUUAAUGCCAUCUGGUGUCCACUAAAGGUAACGAGUCUGCAUCAAUCAUCCAACAGCACCACAAUGGUCUAAUAAUCUAGAACAAUAUCAAGAGAGUUUUGGUGAAAUCUAAGUGUAUAUUUAAUAACUACAAUACUAAUUUCUCGCUAGAAAUGGAAUCAAAAGUUGAAAAAAGUGGGGGGAACGUACAUUUAUUUUCUUCCUCUCAACCACCAUAGAUCCUCGAGCAAAGUAUUGUGGGAUUUCGUGAAGGUAGACAGGAUGUUACCCGAACAUUGAAUUCAGAUGUGCCUUGAUCCCUUCCUACCUCCUGAGGCAGCAUUUUCAUGGUUUCAGAUUCAUCCCUUGUCAUUAGUUCUGUCUUUGUCUUAUGUUGUUACCUUUUUGAUUUGUAUUUAUAGCCCUCAUGUUCUCUAGUCCUUGGUCGUGGAUGUAUCUUUGUUUAUAGGUUUGGUUCUUGUUAUCUUGUAUCUACAGUCGUAGUCUCAGUCAUGGUCAAAUCUGGUUUAGUUGUAGACAUGGUUCAUGUUUCUUGUUUUGGUUUCUUUUUUUUUUUAUACUUUUACAUUUUGGAUUGAUCGUUUUGCACAUUUGAUUUA